GAUGAACGCUGGCGGCGUGCCUAAUACAUGCAAGUCGAGCGAACAGAUAAGGAGCUUGCUCCUUUGACGUUAGCGGCGGACGGGUGAGUAACACGUGGGUAACCUACCUAUAAGACUGGAAUAACUCCGGGAAACCGGGGCUAAUGCCGGAUAACAUUUAGAACCGCAUGGUUCUAAAGUGAAAGAUGGUUUUGCUAUCACUUAUAGAUGGACCCGCGCCGUAUUAGCUAGUUGGUAAGGUAACGGCUUACCAAGGCAACGAUACGUAGCCGACCUGAGAGGGUGAUCGGCCACACUGGAACUGAGACACGGUCCAGACUCCUACGGGAGGCAGCAGUAGGGAAUCUUCCGCAAUGGGCGAAAGCCUGACGGAGCAACGCCGCGUGAGUGAUGAAGGUCUUCGGAUCGUAAAACUCUGUUAUUAGGGAAGAACAAAUGUGUAAGUAACUGUGCACGUCUUGACGGUACCUAAUCAGAAAGCCACGGCUAACUACGUGCCAGCAGCCGCGGUAAUACGUAGGUGGCAAGCGUUAUCCGGAAUUAUUGGGCGUAAAGCGCGCGUAGGCGGUUUCUUAAGUCUGAUGUGAAAGCCCACGGCUCAACCGUGGAGGGUCAUUGGAAACUGGGAAACUUGAGUGCAGAAGAGGAAAGUGGAAUUCCAUGUGUAGCGGUGAAAUGCGCAGAGAUAUGGAGGAACACCAGUGGCGAAGGCGACUUUCUGGUCUGUAACUGACGCUGAUGUGCGAAAGCGUGGGGAUCAAACAGGAUUAGAUACCCUGGUAGUCCACGCCGUAAACGAUGAGUGCUAAGUGUUAGGGGGUUUCCGCCCCUUAGUGCUGCAGCUAACGCAUUAAGCACUC
rnacentral:rRNA from 1 species